CACUCGUAUGUGACCUGCGGAGGGUCAUUACACAAAUAUGAAGGCGGGCUGGAACCUCUCGGGGUUACAGCCUUGCUGAAUUAUUCACCCUUGUCUUUUGCGUACUUCUUGUUUCCUUGGUGGGUUCGCCCACCACUAGGACAAACAUAAACCUUUUGUAAUUGCAAUCAGCGUCAGUAACAAAUUAAUAAUUACAACUUUCAACAACGGAUCUCUUGGUUCUGGCAUCGAUGAAGAACGCAGCGAAAUGCGAUAAGUAGUGUGAAUUGCAGAAUUCAGUGAAUCAUCGAAUCUUUGAACGCACAUUGCGCCCUUUGGUAUUCCAAAGGGCAUGCCUGUUCGAGCGUCAUUUGUACCCUCAAGCUUUGCUUGGUGUUGGGCGUCUUGUCUCUAGCUUUGCUGGAGACUCGCCUUAAAGUAAUUGGCAGCCGGCCUACUGGUUUCGGAGCGCAGCACAAGUCGCACUCUCUAUCAGCAAAGGUCUAGCAUCCAUUAAGCCUUUUUUUCAACUUUUGACCUCGGAUCAGGUAGGGAUACCCGCUGAACUUAA
rnacentral:rRNA from 1 species